rnacentral:rRNA from 1 species
UGCCCGGUGCUGGAAGGUUAAGAGGAGGGGUUAGCCGCAAGGCGAAGCUCUGAAUUGAAGCCCCAGUAAACGGCGGCCGUAACUAUAACGGUCCUAAGGUAGCGAAAUUCCUUGUCGGGUAAGUUCCGACCUGCACGAAUGGUGUAACGAUCUGGGCGCUGUCUCGACGCGGGACUCGGUGAAAUUGAAGUAUCGGUGAAGAUGCCGAUUACCUAUGGUUAGACGGAAAGACCCCGUGAACCUUUACUGCAGCCUGGCACUGGAAUUUGGACUUUCAUGUGUAGGAUAGGUGGGAGGCUAUGAAGCAUGGUCGUUAGAUUGUGUGGAGCCGCUGGUGAAAUACCACCCUUGGUAGUUUAGGUUUCUAACGCUGCUGCUGAAACGUGGUAGUGGACACUGUCAGGUGGGCGGUUUGACUGGGGCGGUCACCUCCUAAAGAGUAACGGAGGUGCGCGAAGGUCUCCUCGCACUGGUUGGAAAUCAGUGUGUGAGUGUAAAGGCAUAAGGAGGCUUGACUGCGAGACUGACAAGUCGAGCAGGGGCGAAAGCUGGGGUAGCGAACCGGAUUAGAUACCCGGGUAGUCCCAGCCGUAAACGAUGCAUGCUAGGUGUUGGGUUGGCCACGAGCCACCCCAGUGCCGCAGGGAAGCCGAUAAGCAUGCCGCCUGGGAAGUACGAUCGCAAGAUUGAAACUUAAAGGAAUUGGCGGGGGAGCACCACCAGGCGUGAAGCCUGCGGUUUAAUUGGAGUCAACGCCGGGAACCUUACCGGGAGCGACAGCAGAAUGAAGGCCAGAUUGAAGAUCUUGCCAGACGAGCUGAGAGGAGGUGCAUGGCCGUCGCCAGUUCGUGCCGUGAGGUGUUCUCUUAAGUGAGAUAACGAACGAGACCCGUGCCACAUGUUGCCACCAGUAUCUAAAGGAUAGCUGAGCACUCUUGUGGGACCGCAGCCGAUAAGGCUGAGGAAGGUACGGGCAACGGCAGGUCAGUAUGCCCCGAAUCUCCCGGGCCACACGCGGGCUGCAAUGGUACAGACAGAGGGCUGCCACCCCGAAAGGGGGAGCCAAUCCCUAAACUGUACCUCAGUUGGGAUCGAGGGUUGCAACCCACCCUCGUGAACAUGGAAUGCCUAGUAACCGCCAGUCAUCAUCUGGCGGUGAAUACGACCCUGCUCCUUGCACACACUGCCCGUCGAACCACCCGAAUGAGGUUUGGGUGAGGAAUGGUCGAAUGUUGGCCGUUUCGAACCUGGGCCUCGUAAGGAGGGUUAAGUCGUAACAAGGUG